UACGAAGGGGGCUAGCGUUGCUCGGAAUCACUGGGCGUAAAGCGCACGUAGGCGGCUUGUUAAGUCAGGGGUGAAAUCCUGGAGCUCAACUCCAGAACUGCCUUUGAUACUGGCGAGCUUGAGUUCGGGAGAGGUGAGUGGAACUGCGAGUGUAGAGGUGAAAUUCAUAGAUAUUCGCAAGAACACCAGUGGCGAAGGCGGCUCACUGGCCCGAUACUGACGCUGAGGUGCGAAAGCGUGGGGAGCAAACAGG
rnacentral:rRNA from 1 species